ensembl:ncRNA F43G9.15 ncRNA
GCAUUGACUUCGGCAACUGGUCGGAGAUUUCCCCAUGGCAUCGUGAAGUACUUGCAUCCAUCCCAGUUUGGCUCUGCUGGCAGUGUUGAGCUAUUGCAUGAUCUGAACUCGUUGCUCGUGCUUCCAAAUGAACCGAUUGACAUCAUUAUG